rnacentral:snRNA from 1 species
UCAAUCUCAUGAUAGACUAGACA